rnacentral:rRNA from 1 species
GCAUAUCAAUAAGCGGAGGAAAAGAAACCAACAGGGAUUACCUCAGUAACGCGCGAGUGAAGCGGUAACAGCUCAAAUUUGAAAUCUGGCUCUUUUAGGGUCCGAGUUGUAAUUUGUAGAAGAUGCUUUGGGCAUUGCUCCGGUCUAAGUUCCUUGGAACAGGACGUCAUAGAGGGUGAGAAUCCCGUAUGUGACUGGUGGCAUUUGUCCGUGUAAAGCUCUUUCGACGAGUCGAGUUGUUUGGGAAUGCAGCUCAAAAUGGGUGGUAUAUUUCAUCUAAAGCUAAAUAUUGGCCAGAGACCGAUAGCGCACAAGUAGAGUGAUCGAAAGAUGAAAAGCACUUUGGAAAGAGAGUUAAACAGUACGUGAAAUUGUUGAAAGGGAAGCGCUUGCAACCAGACUUGCAGGUCGUUGAUCAUCCGGGGUUCUCCCCGGUGCACUCGGCGGCUUUCAGGCCAGCAUCGGUUUGAGUGGUGGGAUAAAGGCCUUGGGAAUGUGGCUCCUCUCGGGGAGUGUUAUAGCCCAAGGUGCAAUGCCGCCUACUCGGACCGAGGACCGCGCUUCGGCUAGGAUGCUGGCGUAAUGGUUGUAAGCGACCCGUCUUGAAACACGGACCAAGGAGUCUAACAUCUAUGCGAGUGUUUGGGUGUCAAACCCAUACGCGUAAUUAACGUGAACGGAGGUAAGAACCCUUAAGGGUGCAUUAUCGACCGAUCCUGAUGUCUUCGGAUGGAUUUGAGUAAGAGCAUAGCUGUUGGGACCCGAAAGAUGGUGAACUAUGCCUGAAUAGGGUGAAGCCAGAGGAAACUCUGGUGGAGGCUCGCAGCGGUUCUGACGUGCAAAUCGAUCGUCAAAUUUGGGUAUAGGGGCGAAAGACUAAUCGAACCAUCUAGUAGCUGGUUUCCUGCUGAAGUU